CGUUUGUGUUCUCAGAAGGGCUCAACGACGACGUACCUAACCUUUCUCUAACUUAUCUUAAAUAGAGAAAAAACUCUCUUUUUGGUUUCUUCUUUCUGCUCUCCAGGAGCUUGGUUUCUGGCCUUCAGUGGCUCUACCCUGCCCCUUCCGGGCAGGGGAGAGUCUCUUUCCCUGCCUUCCUAUUGUUGAGUGGGUUGUAUAUAUGAUUUUAGGUUAGUUUUUGAAGAUCAUGAAGACAAACAAAGAGGGUGCUAUAUUUAGUAGAUCUGCUAUGUUUUGCGUUUGGUAUAGUCAAGUGACUGGUUUCUUUGGCCUAAUAGAGAUUUGGGAGCUGAAAUCAACUGUUGCCCCCUGUUGACUUAGCUGUUGGCCCAGAGUUAUCUUUUGUUGUUCUCUCGCUCAUUGGCUGCUGUGAAAGUAAGUUGUGAGUGGAAAACCAAACGGUCUAAGUCGUCGUCGCUCUCGGUGCUCCGAUGGUGCAGUCCUGCAGUAACGUUUGUUGUUGACCUCUGGCAUUUCAAGGCUACCAUGGCUACUGUUUGCAUGUGUCGGCACCCUAGUUCAUUCUGUGUUUCUUCAGCUGUCAUCGGUUUUGGCUGAACGACGCUACUGGUGGAGAAGACGUUCGUUUGUAUCUUCACCUUAAAGUUCGUUUGGUAGAACUAGGGAUUUUUUAGCUGUAGACCCGAUUCGUAAUAGGUUGUUGUUGUUGUUGCGUGGUUGGACUAAGCAUGCUCUGGUUAUUGUAAGGGGCCUCGGGCCUCUGGGAACCCAAAAUUUGAUCAAUGAUAUUUCUAUCUUCUGAUUUAGGGGGAAAAAAAAGAUAAG
rnacentral:misc_RNA from 1 species